ACCGGUGCGGGAUGCGGCCGGCGAUGUCCCCACGGCUGCAGCCGUGCGGGUGGGGGGGGGGGUCGAAGGGGGGUGGGGGGGUGGGAAGAGGCUGCGAACAUCUGCUGGAAGGGACAGUCCGGGAAAGUGUGCAGAGCUGCUGGAAGGGGCCCUGACCGUGCGGGAUGGGGGGGAGAGAGCUCUGCCCCCACCCCCCCCCCACCCCCUCCCAACGCUGCAGCUGCGCUGGGGCUCAGCGGGGAGUGGGGGCAGCGGGACGGGGUUGGGGGAGAGGGGAAACUGAGGCACGCGGCGCAGGAAUGCGCUUUGGGGUCAAGCCCGGAUCCCACGCACAUCCCACGUGCGUCGGGUCGGGUCAAGGAGCACGGAGCGGAUUUAUAGCUGUACGGGAUACGGCACCGCCGGGGAUGGGGGAAGAGUUGCGGGGAGGCUGGGAGCGCGCACAGAGAUCGCCUCCGCCCCAAAGGCGCUCCCUGCCAUCCCUCCCCCCCCACCCCCACCCCCCCGCAGGUGGCUGGAGCAGAACGGUUGGUAUGGAGACAGGGAAGCACGGGCUGCCUGGAACAGGCACAGAGCAACGCGCGGCGGAUUCAGCGGAGCCGUGGGGAGGAGAGAGGUGGACCCAAACAGAGCCGUUCCCUGCGCUGCUCGGGAAGGAACGGAAAUUCCCUGCCAUGAAAACAUGACGAAACCCCAAACCAAAACACAGCUCGGAACGAAACCUUCGCCCAGUUCCCCGGGGAUGCCGUGCAGGGCAGGUCCCAGGGCUGGGCGCUGCGGGGGAAGCGCUGCCACGGGGACCUCUCCGCCCACCAACACGCUUCCCCCUUCAUGCGCCUUUGGGUGACACCACCGCUUCCCAUCCCCACUUUGCACUGCCAGAUGUCAAAACCGGCGCGACGGAGCUGGGAAGGGGCUGCUUUGCAUACAGCACACCCAGAUAGACAGGGGUUCUGUCUGCUUUCCACCUAUCCUGAGCCCCUGUGCAGGGCUUGUGUGUCACGUCCCGGGGUGCCAGCACCCCCUCGGCGCACCCAGUGCUCGCAGCAGAUGCUCUGCUGCAGGAUGAAUGGCCCUCCCCGCCCCAGGCCCCGCUCUGCAGCUCCCGUUCCGGAGCCUGGAUCCGGCCACGCAGGCUGAAUAAGGCUCUGCCUUUGUCCGGCUCCCCCCGUCGCGCUUCCCCUUAUCUAGCCCGGCCGCCUUGCCAAGACCACGAGGCUGUGAGCAGGGAGAGGCGUGCGGCAUCUCCCGGGGCUGUUAACUCUUCUCUGCUCUGCGCACGUUCACCCAGCCCCAUCCCAAAGCCCUCUGGCGCGCCCCGCUCCUCCUCACCCCUGCAUCCCAACCACCCCGCUGUGCGCGGCUGCACGAACCCCUCCCAUCUCCUGGGCACCCCCGGGGGUCUGGGGGUGGGCGCGGGGCCCCGCAGCCCACGGGUGUCCCCGGGGCAGAGCACAGCCUGGCGAUCUGCUGCACUGCUGCGCGCAGCAAUUAACCUCGGGAGAGCAGCGCGGCCGCUGCCAAGAACCACAUUAGGUGUGUGUGGCAGUGUCUAGACAUGCAAGAGACCAGAGGCCUUGAUCUGGAGGAAGGCGGCUCAGUCCCUUCCCCCCCUCCCCGUCCCCCUCCCGGCCUUGGCACGGGGUUCAGCCGCCCCAGCGCCGCUUUUCCCAGCAGGGAUCGCCGGGUGCGGGGAUGCUCAGCAUGAAGCUGAGCCCUGCCCCACAUCCCAACACACCAGGGGGCUCCGGAAGCAUCACGGUGCUGUUUAGCACAGCACAGCCACGGUGCCGAGCAAUGGGUGUCCCAACACCGCACCCCCAGGGUGGGCUGUGAGCAGGGAGGGGGGAAGGCAGCGGCGAGCUGCGCCCAUCCCACCUCCCAGGCAAGAGAUGCAGCAACCGUCCCAACCAUCCCAACCAUCCCGGGGGGGCAGCAGCAAGCCCCCAGCACCAGGGAUGGAGCUAGGCAGGGCCCCAACUCGCCACCUCCCCGUAUCCAUACCCACAGUGCUCAGCCACGCCACACAGCCGGCGCUGCCCAUCCCCUGCUGGCAUGCAGUGCCGCGCUGGCGGCCUCGUGGGUGCUGCGGGGACGGGGUGGGCACUGCGGGGACGGGGUGGGCGCUCCCCCGGCACCCCCUGCUCUCACCUCCACCCCAGCCGGCUGCAGGAUGCUUCGGGAGAAGAGAUUUUCCCGACGUUAAUUAAUUAAAAUAAACAGCAAAUUAAAUACAGCAAAAUUAAAAUAGCUCCGGAAAUUAAUUUUCAACAAAACCCACCUGGAAAGGCUGGAUAUUUAAAGAAUUAAUGGAGCCCUCUGAGACCAUAAAGAACCGCCGAGCUCCCGGCAUCCGCCAGCCCCCUCCGACACCCCCAGGGAGCGCGGGGCCGUGGGGAAAUGAGGACGGGACCCCCGACCGGAGCCCGCCCCGUACCCGCACGCCUUGUCCCCACACCGCCCGGAGCCGCCGCGUGGCCCUGCUGGUGGCUGCACGUGGCUGCCGUGCGAGAGCGAAGCGGUGAGGGAGAGGAGGGAGCAGAGGGAGGAGGAGAGGCUGAGCUCGCAGCUCUGCUCCUCCUGCUGUGCGCUGCGCGGCACGGCGCGCUCCGGCUCGCACCCUCCCGGCACAAACCUUGCAAAACCACCACCUCCAAAAACCCCGCUGCUCACCCCACGCUUAAUCCCCAUAACCACGGCUGGAUUAGAGGGCGGCAGGGCUGGGAAAAGCUCCUUACGGGGGGGGUGCGAGGGGCCGGGACCCCCCCCCACAGCUGCACCGCGCAGCGCACGGGGCUGGGAGCCCCCCCGGCCUCCCCGGUGCCGUUUCCUCUCCCCGCACCCUGGGCGUGUGCACCGGGAAACACCGGUGAGCAAAAAAGCUCCGGAAGGAAACAGAGAAAGCGAGAAAGAAGCGCGCAG
ensembl:lncRNA